rnacentral:rRNA from 1 species
ACUCAAAUGAAUUGACGGGGACUUGCACAAGCGGUGGUCCAUGUGGUUUAAUUCGAUGGUAAACGAAGAACCUUACCAGGGUUAGAAAUCUAGACGAAGUCUUGCAGAAACGUAAGACGCCUCACAAGGGCGUCUAGACAGGUGUUGCAUGGCCGUCGUCAGUUCGUGGUUUGAAUUGUUCCCUUAAGUGGGGUAACGAACGCAACCCUCGUUGCCUGUUAUAAGUGUCAGGCGAGACAGCCCCCGAUUUUGGGCGUGAGUUUAAAAACUCGCGAGCAAAAUCGGGGGAGGAAGGCGAGGAUGACGCCAGGUCAGCAUGACCCUCCGAUAUCCUGGGCUACACACGUGGAACAAUGGCUACUACAACGCGUUGCGACGGAGUAAUCCUAAGCUAAUCGUUAGAAAAGUAGCCUCAGUUUGGAUUGAGGUCUGCAACUUGACCUCAUGAAAUUGGAAUCGCUAGUAAUCGCGGGUCAGCACACCGCGGUGAAUACGUUCUCAAGUCUUGUACACACCGCCCGU